rnacentral:rRNA from 1 species
AGCGAACGCUGGCGGCAGGCCUAACACAUGCAAGUCGAACGGAUCCUUCGGGAUUAGUGGCGGACGGGUGAGUAACACGUGGGAACGUGCCCUUUGGUUCGGAACAACUCAGGGAAACUUGAGCUAAUACCGGAUGUGCCCUUCGGGGGAAAGAUUUAUCGCCAUUGGAGCGGCCCGCGUCUGAUUAGCUAGUUGGUGAGGUAAAGGCUCACCAAGGCGACGAUCAGUAGCUGGUCUGAGAGGAUGAUCAGCCACAUUGGGACUGAGACACGGCCCAAACUCCUACGGGAGGCAGCAGUGGGGAAUCUUGCGCAAUGGGCGAAAGCCUGACGCAGCCAUGCCGCGUGAAUGAUGAAGGUCUUAGGAUUGUAAAAUUCUUUUACCAGGGACGAUAAUGACGGUACCUGGAGAAAAAGCCCCGGCUAACUACGUGCCAGCCGCCGCAGUAACAC